CGAAACGAAAUCAUUCCUAAUUUCUUCUGAAUCAUCUUGUCCAAAUGCAUACGUCACAAAACAUCCAACAACUAUACAGAGUCUUACAAAUUCCAUAAUAUCGCAAACUACCAAAAGAUAUUCUCAAACUUUUAUUCGCCUAGUUCUGUUACUGUUAUAAUUGACAAAAUGAACAAAGUGGAUGGUAAUAUACAGGUUGGGUAGGAUGUAACUUACUUAUCGAUCGGUUCGGCGUAAUCUGACUGGCGGGAAAUAAUGAUAGACCACUAAAAUAGCACGGAGAUAGUUAUGACACGAACAAAAGAAAGCAUCGUUUAUUGAAGCUACUUAACUAGGAUCAUUAAGGAAUUAAAGGGUAUAGUGAAUGGUUAUUUUUAAACGUAAUCAAUUACAUGUCAGAGCUAGUGACGCUU
rnacentral:lncRNA from 1 species